GACGAACGCUGGCGGCGUGCUUAACACAUGCAAGUCGAGCGGACAGACCCUGCUUUUGUGGGUUGCUCGAUUGGCGAACGGGUGAGUAAAACAUGUGUAACAUGCCCUUAACAUUCUGAUAAAUUCUGGGAACUGGGGCUCUUACCCGGUAGAAGCUCCUGCUGCAUAGUGUGGGUUGGAAAAAUUCGGCGGUUGUGGAUGGUUUCGCGGCUUAUCCGCUUGAUGGUGUGGUAGGGGCUUUCAAAGGCUGUGACGGGUAGCCGGCCUGGGAGGGUGACCGGGCACAUUGGGACUGAGAUACGGCGCAGACGCCUACGGGAGGCAGCAGGGGGGAAUAUUGCAGAAUGGGCGGAAGCCUGAUGCAGCAACGCCGCGUGCGGGAUGACGGCCUUCGGGUGGUAAACCGCUUUCGCAUGUGACGAAGCGUGAGUGACGGUAAUGGGUAAGGAAGCACCGGCUAACUACGUG
rnacentral:rRNA from 1 species